rnacentral:rRNA from 1 species
UACGUAGGGAGCAAGCGUUAUCCGGAUUUAUUGGGUGUAAAGGGUGCGUAGACGGGAAGCUAAGUUAGUUGUGAAAUUCCUCGGCUUAACUGAGGAACUGCAACUAAAACUGGUUUUCUUGAGUAUUGGAGAGGAAAGUGGAAUUCCUAGUGUAGCGGUGAAAUGCGUAGAUAUUAGGAAGAACACCGGUGGCGAAGGCGACUUUCUGGACAAUAACUGGCGUUGAGGCACGAAAGUGUGGGGAGCAAAC